rnacentral:rRNA from 1 species
GUGGGGAAUCUUCCGCAAUGGACGAAAGUCUGACGGAGCAACGCCGCGUGAGUGAAGAAGGUUUUCGGAUCGUAAAGCUCUUUCGUUAGGGACGAACGUGCUCUUUGUGAAUAAUGAGGAGUAAUGACGGUACCUAAAUAAGAAGCCACGGCUAACUACGUGCCAGCAGCCGCGGUAAUACGUAGGUGGCAAGCGUUGUCCGGAAUUAUUGGGCGUAAAGCGCGCGCAGGCGGGAUAUCAAGUCUGUCUUAAAAGUGCGAGGCUCAACCUCGUGAGGGGACAGAAACUGGUAUUCUUGAGUGUCGGAGAGGAAAGUGGAAUUACAAGUGUAGCGGUGAAAUGCGUAGAGAUUUGGAAGAACACCAGUGGCGAAGGCGGCUCACUGGCUCGAUACUGACGCUGAGGUGCGAAAGCGUGGGGAGCAAACAGGAUUAGAUACCCCGGUAGUCC